rnacentral:lncRNA from 1 species
ACCUCAAAAUGGUCAUUAGACUCACAUGCACUUUGGUUUAAGCCAUGGAAAACCAAAGUAAGACAUUCAUAAAUUUCAUCUUAUUUCUCUUCCUCUCUCACGCAAACCCUCCAUCUCUCCUAGUUUAAAUCCCAAUUUCCACUUCUUCUAGGUCGGAACAUGCAUGUCCAGGACUCUUAUGCAUAAAUAGUAGCUCAAGUUACUCAUGGAUUUUAGUCUCUUGGCCCAUGGGAUUAAGGUAAGUAAGUAUCUCCAACUCCUCUUAUGUUUUUAGAAUCAACCCUAAACCCCAAUCUUGAUAUUUCCAUUUAAAUAGGAUUCUUGGAGCAAUAAUACAGGUCUGAGAAGUAGUUUUGGAGCGCAAGAGGAAGAAGUACCUAAUUUUGGAAACUGGAGAGGUUUAAUGAAAGUAUUGGAAUUCACAUUGCUAAGCUUUCAAGAGUGUUAUUCACAUAUGGUGGGUUCCUUUAGGUUAUCACUACUACCUUGUUUAAGUUUUGGCCAAUUUAAGAUUGACUACUAAUUUUAAGUUAGAGAAACAAUGGAAAAUUGGAGUAAUAGCCUAAUAGACUAAUAGGUACCCAUUUUACUCUUUAUGAAAAUAAUGAAUAUUACUGGAUUAUGAUUAAUUAGUAAUUGUAGUGAGUUAGAUCCCUUUCCCUUACUUGGUACAAGGCUUAAAAUGAUAGAUUAAAAGUGAUUCUAAGUGUGUAUUUAGUUUAUAAAUGAAGCUAAGUGGAAGUUCGAGUAAUUUGGGACUGUAAUGCAAAAUUCUGCAGAUUUUCAUAGUGCAGCCCCUGUGUGUGGCACACACAUGGGGAAUUAUUUAUGAGUUUAAUUGUUGUGCACCGUCAGUGUAAUUUUGUUUUACACAUACAUCCAAUGACGUGUUGCCACAUCAUUUAAUGAAUGUGACACAUCAUGUGUUUUUAAUUACCAUACAUGAUGUGUCACUAUAUUAUUGGACGCAUGUGCAAAAUAACUUUAGACUUACGGUGCAUAUAAAAUAAAUUCAUUAUUUAUAUUCGCGGGGCGCAAUAGGCAGUAGCCCCACUUUUCCCAGUUUUGUGUUCCUGAGCGUUUUUAAGGUCCGGCAGGCAACCGAAACUAGUAAAUUAGUAUAGAAACAAUUUUAGGUGACUUAAUGCUUAGGAAUGAAAAUGUAAAUGAGUUGCGAUAUUGGUAGUUAGAUUACCUACAUAGUCGAAUAGUUAACUUACAUUAGCUUAUCUAGUUUAAAAAGUUUAAGAUUAGUAUUGGCAACUUAAACUCACUAGGUGGUAGUUUUGUAUUAACUAUUGGUAACAAUAUUAAGACAAUUACAAACUAUAAUUAGAGUAAUUAGACAAAUUGGUAAUAUGUGAACAGUUGAUCAAUAUACCCAAAUUCUGACGCAUACAUUAUUAUGUGCCGAUUAUAAUUACAUUUUUACUUGGUCAUUGAGACAUCACACGAACUUCGUAUUAUAGUUGAUCGUGUUGGUUGGAUUUCGCAUUAUAGGAAUCGAUAUGGUAAUUUAAUAAAUAUGUGAGGUAAUUUCCGCGUCCAAUUAUUAUAAUUACAAUUGGCCGGACAUGCUGGCGUCUGAGACUACUCACCUCAGGUCGUUCGGGUAAUAAAACGAACCAAGCUUUAUAAUUGUGUGACACAUUUUAUUACAUUGAAUUGAAGUACUAAUAAUACAUGUAUUUUAUACAUGACCGAUCAACUAGUAGGAUAAUCCCUUUAACCACUAACACCUUAGGUAUAGGUGGAACUCACUGAGGCUUAUGUCUCAACCCACUCUUUUAUAUAUUUUUUUCAGAUAACAGAUUGGAUAAGACAAGGGUAAGAAGAAGCAAAGGAUUGAAGCUGAAAGAUUACAUUAGUUUCUUCCUUGUUUUGUUAGAUUAAGUUGUUAUGUGUAUCUCAUUGGAUUAUUUCUGCUGUGUAAUGGAAAUUCAUUUCUCUGUAUCUAGUGAUGAAUUUAAGUACUUGUCAAUUUUCAAACAAGUUACUUUGUAAAUUUUAAUGUAUUCGGAUUCAAUUAUGUAUGUUCCUGUCGAUAUUCUAGACAAUUGAUAUGGGGCGUUAUAGAACAAUUUUCUCAUCUUAUAGUGGAAAAGGUUAUCAAAACCGGACCGGUUGGACCGUGAACCGGUCAUAAAAACGGUUCGGUUUUGAGCAAAAAACAGAUAGGAAACCGACCGACAAAAAAACGCGUGAACCGGGGUCGGACCGGGUCGAACCGGCGAACCGGCCGGUUCAAG